rnacentral:rRNA from 1 species
AGUGAACGCUGGCGGUAGGCCUAACACAUGCAAGUCGAACGGCAGCACAGUAAGAGCUUGCUCUUACGGGUGGCGAGUGGCGGACGGGUGAGGAAUACAUCGGAAUCUACUUUUUCGUGGGGGAUAACGUAGGGAAACUUACGCUAAUACCGCAUACGACCUACGGGUGAAAGCAGGGGAUCUUCGGACCUUGCGCGAUUGAAUGAGCCGAUGUCGGAUUAGCUAGUUGGCGGGGUAAAGGCCCACCAAGGCGACGAUCCGUAGCUGGUCUGAGAGGAUGAUCAGCCACACUGGAACUGAGACACGGUCCAGACUCCUACGGUAGGCAGCAGUGGGGAAUAUUGGACAAUGGUCGCAAGCCUGAUCCAGCCAUACCGCGUGGGUGAAGAAGGCCUUCGGGUUGUAAAGCCCUUUUGUUGGGAAAGAAAAGCAGCAGGUUAAUACCCCGCUGUUCUGACGGUACCCAAAGAAUAAGCACCGGCUAACUUCGUG